AAAGUGCUGGGAUUACAGGCUUGAGCCACUGCGCCUGGCAGAUGCCACAAUUUUUUUUUCUUUCUUUACACAGGUGCUGAUGAACUCAGGUGUAAUUAACCCUAAGGGGUAAAUUAUUCACUAAGUGCAGUAAUAGGGUCCAAUUUUUAUGACCAGGUUUUCAGUUCUUUGAUAUUGUCCUACAUUCAGAAAUCACAAAUGAAAAAUACUGGAAUGUGUGACGUGAACAAUGUCUUGGAGGUUAACAUCCAGGUUUUUACAUAUUAGAUGUAACAACAUGAAAGCUGGUACCAUCUGGGAACCAAAGGAACUGUCCCUGAGAACACAGAAUUUUAGGGACAUCAAUUAUUAAGAGUUUACAUGGAAGCAGAAGUGCUCCUAGAUGUUUCCAUUAUCUAGAUAGAAAAAUUCAACAGAUGAGCCCCAGUGAGUCAAGGAACAUCUCUGACAGCUGUGGGUGAUGGGCUUUCUAUCCAAAGCAGAGAUGUGAAACCUGACGGGUUUCAAUUGACCCCGAAGUGCUCCAUAUCUCAAAAGUCAAUCCCACAAAGCUGGAACGCUAUCUGUUCCUGAGGGAUCAGGUCCCACCUGUGUCUCUAAGACACUGCCUUGAGAUGAGGCCGAUGAUUUCAAACGUAAAUUGCCUAAAUUAUCAUCAGCUUCAUGUUGUGUUUUGGAGCUUGUCCACUUAAGUGGGUUGAUAAAAAAUGGCUCACAAGACACAUGCCUGGGAAAUGGGGUUUUCUUCUUUGCUCUUGGCAGAUCCUGGGCAACCCUAUAAUUAACCUUCUUGAUUUCUCAAUUUUCACAUUCGCGAAAAAGGUGCCAGUGCGCGUGACAUUUCCCUGAAGCCACAGCCCUUGUCACCCCCUGCAAAGCUCUGAAGUUGUGCACAGUGUCUAUAGCAGUUUAGGAAAGAAGGCGGCUCCCUGGGCUGGAGACGACGCAAUGCUCUGGGAAGACCCCUGGGUGCGGGUGAGAGAGGAAUCCGAGCUGCACAAGGCCAAUGAGGGGAGGACGACCCGCCCGAUUUAGAUAAAGGUAACAAGAAAUUUCAGCUUCCGGCAUGAUGGGCGAAGGCCCCCACCUUCAGCCUCGCUCCUCCAUGCCUUCAGAGCUGUUCCGCCAUGCAGACGGGGAGCCUGCCUGUUCUUUAACCUCUCCUACCUGAUGGGAGAGGACAAGCUACCAGGACAGCUUGUCUCACCAAGAAAUUGUGAUACCGCAUCCCCCAACGUGCUGGCUUCCUGACUUCCAAAGUUGCGGCAAGGUAAGAAGAACUACAGAGGAAGAACCUAAUGCAGACGUUUCCCAGGAGACUUUAACUGAAGUAUCAGCAAACUGAAAGCUAGGACGCUUCAGACAUACCAGUGGGCCUAACCUUUUUCACAAGGAGCUCUGGCCUGGCCAACAAGAAUCACCUUUGGUGCUUCAGUGCAGUGUCACCAUCACCUGUUUGAAAUGCAGCCAGGUAACAUGUACCAUUUUAUUUGCUUUCAGUAUCACAGUCUAUCUUCUAAUAAGAAACCUAGGCCUCUGGCUGGGUGUGGUGGCUUACACCUGUAACCCAGCACUUUGAGAGGCUGAGGUGGGUGGAUCACUUGAGGUCAGG
rnacentral:lncRNA from 1 species